rnacentral:rRNA from 1 species
CCUACGGGUGGCAGCAGUGAGGAAUAUUGGUCAAUGGACGAGAGUCUGAACCAGCCAAGCAGCGUGAAGGAUGAAUGCCCUAUGUGUUGUAAACUUCUUUUGUAUGGGAAUAAAACAGGGUAUGCGUCCCCGCAUGUAUGUACCAGAUGAAUAAGGAUCGGCUAACUCCGUGCCAGCAGCCGCGGUAAUACGGAGGCUCCGAGCGUUAUCCGGAUUUAUUGGGUUUAAAGGGUGCGCAGGGGGUCUGGUAAGUCAGCGGUCAAAACCCGGGGCUCAACCCCUGCCCCGCGGUUGAAACUGGCAGUCUCGAGUGGGAGAGAAGUAUGCGGAAUGCGCGGUGUAGCGGUGAAAUGCAUAGAUA